ACUAAUACGUGACUUCCUAGUGACUUGGAGCAAGCAGCUGGGCUGCCAGACCCCAGUUCUAGCUCCAGCCUGGCAAUGGAGUCAUUUGUAUUUCAUAGGAACAUGGAACUCCAAGGGAGCUCCCAGACUAUUAAGUCUCCUCCUCUGAAUUUACAGGCAACCAAACAGCCCUAAAGACCAUCCUGUCUCUUACACUAUACCCAAUGAAAUCUUAUGAGAACUACCAAAAUCACCCCAAAGGUAAAAAGCAGGGAAUCAGGGCUGGUGCCCAACACUGCAAUGGCAAAGAAGUUAUUAAGUUUAUAUAUUCCUUCCUGAAUUCACAUCUCGCAAUGGAUCGGACCUGGAGCAUGUCACUGGGUGACUAUGGGCAGUGCCACACCACUCAGGGCUGUUGCAUAGACACUGCAAGAUCCUGGGAUAGAAGAUGCUGUAGAAAUGCAUAGUGUUAUUACUAUUUGGACACGUUAUGGCUAGGUCUUAAGCCAGACGCACAAAAUCAUGGGAUUUUUUUAAAAAAGGAAGCUAUUUGACUUCAUUUGUAUUUAGCUUGUGGCUUGAGCCUCCAGGUUACAACUAGGAAGCUCCAGCCUUCAUGGUUGUGGAGAAAACUUGAAGACCUUUCUUUCAUGGAAGCUGAGGAUCUCGCAUGAUUGCACAACACCAGGGGAUGGGGCUUUCAGGAAAAAUGGACCAGUGAAGGAGAAAAGCUGUUGUCUCUGCUUGGGACUGGAUUUGGACCUGCUUGGUCUCAAUUCACCUGGGAUCCAAAUACACAGCAGACUCCUGAGAUGGACCAGAGCUUCUCACUAAUGCACAGAUCUCCAUUACUGCACUGCGCUUGCCUGGGGGGCCCUGAGCCACGAGCAAGAAGGAAUGGUCUCCAGGGGGAAUGGCUAUACACGCUUAUGGUAUAGACAGCUCCGUGUGUCAAGGCCUGGACAAAGCUGAGCUAACUAGUCCUCAACUUUCUUGUGUGGUAAGUAGUGUGGUCCCGUGCUAGAAUGGGAAACUGAGGCACAAAAGAGAAGAAACCUGCCUCAGGCUACACAGCUCAGAACUGGGGCUAAGACUCAAGUCUGCCUGACUCUUAGCCCCAAGCUUGAUCCUCCAGGUCCUGCCAUGUCCUCAGCACUGCACAGGAUCAGACACCAGGAGCCUGGGACCAUGAAGAAGCAGAGAAAGAGUAUCGGCAAGUGGUACCAGGUCCCUGCUCUGAUCUCAUCAAAUCCAGUGACAAAACUGGCUACGCUGGGAGCCGGACGUCUUAUCUAGGCCUUGUCUCUGAGAGUUUACCCGGGGCCAGAUGCUGGGUCAGUGACACUCAGAUAGACCUAGCAAGCUGAGGCUCACUCCAUCAUUGCAAGUAGUGGCUUUCCUUGUCCAGCCUGGGUGAAAUCCAAGUGUGUCCCCCACACAUGCCGGGCUGGAGGGCACCUUCUUGCAUUUUGAUCCCCUCCAGUACAUGCCUGCUGCAGCAGUUACUCUCCCAUUGGAGCAAUUCCUGUUACAUAGGACAGCUCCAUUGAUCCUCAUGCCAGAAAACAGGCAUAUCAGCCUGUUUGCUCCUGAGACACGUUUUCUUUUAUCCUCCCAUCUACCAGGUCCAUAAAGCAGAUCCCAAAGGCAAACCUUGGAGGCAAAGCUCUCUGUGGGGAGGACUGUUUAACUACAGUUAUCCCUGGUGCUUCAUUGCCUGGGGGAAGAUGAAUUCACUUGCAGGAACUGCUUCUGCCCUCGAGCUUCCCACAUCUGGCCAGCCUUCCCCCAGUAUCUCAGGAGGAUGCACCAGGGAUCAAGAGGCAUGACCAGGGUCACUGAAGUGAGGCAGCGACUCAGACAAUGUUGGGACCCACAAAAGGUGGCCCCUUUCCUAACCCAAGUUCCUCUUUAAAGUGGCAAAGCACGUGGUCAUCUUGCCCCAGACUGUCAUUAACCUGUUUAGUGUUAACUUGUAUUAAAAACUACUGGGGGGGAGAGAGUUUCCAGCUGCCUUGUUUGACACAAAAUGUCAUAGCCAGAGAUUUGGUGGGGAAAUGGGUUCCUUCUGCUCUUCUCUCCUUCACCGAGUGUUAGCUGACCUUGAAAUGCUGCUGCAUGCAAGCCCAUGACCCAUCCCUGGCAUCUCUAAGAUCAGUCUCUAGGCUUCCCUACAUGCAUCAGCCACCAAUACUCCCUUUAAUGGGGUCCGUCCAGCUGAGAACAGCUCUCUCUCAAGGUGCCACCUUCUUGAGCUCAUAUAAGGCUGGCCCUGUGUUGCAUUUAACCCUUAGCCUCUGUGAUCAGAACAGCACCUUCCUGAGCCCUAAGCAGUUAGACUGGACCAUGCUCCUUUGCUGGAGCUCUUCCAGCCUCUGGCAAUCUCCUGAGGUGGGCAUAGUGCCGGCUGUCUGCACCUACGAGCUGCAACUGGAGUGCACUUCCUGCCCCCUCCCUGAUAAGGUUUGUUUCAUUCACAAUUGUGCAUUGAAUGCAGUCCAGGCAGAAGGGUCCACAUUGGGCCUCUUGGGUUUAGAGGAAAUGCUGCUUGACAUCCUCAUCAAUCUCUUGGUGGAGGCAGGAGAGCUGGUGACAUCCAGUGCUGUUCCGCCCUCCAGGUCAGAGCCCUGUUAAGAGGAGAGGGCCUUGGUUUUCUUUCCAGAUGUCAUCCCAGAUGCAAAGGGUCAGAUUUUCAAGAGAGCUCAGAUCCAAGAUAAGCAGACAGAUCUCCAAGGGUGCCCCUGGGCACUCUGGAAAACAUAGACCUAAAUAGGCAAUGGGUGGUAAACUCUCAUGCCAACUGCCUGGGACUGCAGAAAGAAAUAUGAGCAGAUUACUUUAGGACUUCUUCUUUGUUUAGUUUCUUGAAUCUUCUGCUGAAGCAUCUGACACUGUCAGUCCUCAAGGACAGCCUCCUGGACCAGACAGACCUCUGGUCUGAUCCAGAAUGGCCGGCCCUACAUUGCUCCAGCUGUUGUUUAUAUCACAAUAGCUUCCCGAUUCACCUAGGAAGGCUGAUUGCCCUAAGAGCAACCUGUGCUCUGAAAAUCUUACAGUCUGAAAACAACCAACCUGCAAGAAGUGAGAGGAGAGCUGUUGAAAUAUGGUGUCACGGGGCAGCUGGCCCCUUGAUGCAAACCAUGUCUAGCUCCCCUGUAACAUGAAAUUGUACCCCAGCUGGUCUAGAUUAGGAGGGUGGGUGGCACCUGGGGGUAAGAGAGGGAGGGAGCAGGGGGAUUUAGACUUUUGCAGGAGUUUCUGGAAGAGGAAGGGGACUGGGAUUUGUUAAGAACUGGUGGGUUCCUCAGCAAAUAACAAGGAACUGGUGUCAGUGGUGGCUGGAGCUGAAAAGACUACCAGAAGAGAUGGCUUGGUUGCUUCCCUCGGCUGAGGAGCUGGAGGGACGGGUAAGGAGCUUGCUGGUGGCUUCUCCUAACAGAGAGUGCCAGAGUUGUGGAGCCAGAGAAAGCCACAGAGAGGGCUGUCUGCUGAGCAGCUCAGGAUGGGAAGGUAAGUUCUAGGGGGAAAGCAUGGGCAGUUGCUGCUGGGAAGAGCAGGGCUGGCUGAUGAGGAUUGAGAGGGAGCUCUGGGAGUGGCAGGAGAUGCUGGAACUGGGGUGUUGGUGUCCUGGUGGAUAUGUCCCCAAGGGGUGCUGGGUGGUGAGGGGUAAAAUCAAGCUUCUCUCUUACAUACAUUUGCAAUUUGUGGGUGGGAGAAGGUGAGGAGAAAAGGCACAAGAGGGAAGGUGACAGCCAAAAAAAAAUAAAUAAAUAAGGGCUCUAUAAGGAUGGGGAAAAAAGGCAAGAUGUGAGAGAAGUGCAGAUUGGGGCAGGGGGGCAUGAUGAAUAAAAAAGAGGAGGGAAGACAAGACAAUGUUAUUUUAUGUCCUAGGCAUAAGGCAAGCAACCAGGCUGGCUUAAGAGACUCUGAUUUUCACAGUGAUUUUUGCCCAGACCUUAGCUCCUAAGCUACAAGUAGCUCCUGAGCUGUUCAUGGUAGAACAUUUCUCCUAAGUGUUUUAUUUUUUCUUUCUUAGCUGCCUGCCUUGAAUCUGUCUCUCCUGCAAUGAGGAAUACAGAGCGAGUGCUGCCGCUCCCUAUCGGCUGUGGUACAACUGUUAAUUACUCCAGCCUGAUUUGUCUUUAUGCACUGGAGUAGAUCUGGCACAACUUGGCAAAGGAUGCAUCCGCUGUGGUGGCUGUGGUUUGUGCAUCCCUGGGCUGGGACAAAGGGAAGUUGAUCUACAUUUCCUGACCGCAGCUAGAUCAUCUUACUUCCAGUUUCCAUUAUGCUAUCCACUGGCAAGUGCUUCUAGCAAGCGACUUUCAGGACAUGGUAGUAUAAAUUACAGAGGAAAAUGGUGGAAGCAUGUGUGAUGGAUCUCUCUAGUGGCUAGUUCAAGUAGAAGAGAACUGUAUACUACUGCUGCUCUCAUGGUGAGACUCCUACAGCUCACGUGGUGGAGGUUUGCGUGCUGGUGUUCAAGUAGCACCUUGAUGAGGAUGAUGGGGAGAGGUUAUUGCUCAGGCCCACAGAGGAUGGGUUAGGAAUUGCUCAGAACUUUCCCCUGGCUUGGUAAGUAGAUGGCAGGGAAGGAAAAGCUUCCUUCCUCUUCCCUAGACCUGUGGUAUCCCCUGUAAAAUGGUUAUUAAAUUUGUGGUGGAAGAUGAGUCAAAGCACCAUCCCAAGCUCAGAUGGCCCAUGGUCAGUCGUACACCAUGGAACGAGGCACCAGGCUGCCUUGGAUUGCCCUGCCUGUAGGACAUGCACAAGGUCAUUCCAGCAUGGAAAUCAAUGGGAGAAAAGAACUGAAUGAGAUGGCAGCAAGCUUUGUUAGCAGGUUCAUAGAUGUGUGUGAAUUUUUUAUUUUUUUUUCUUUACCUGCUUGCUUCAUGCUGGAGGUACAAAUGACCCAAAGUAAUUGGGUACUAUAGGGCUAGGAACAGAAGUUGCGUUUAAACCAGUUUAAGUAA